rnacentral:rRNA from 1 species
GAUGAACGCUGGCGGCGUGCCUAAUACAUGCAAGUCGAGCGAACAGACGAGGAGCUUGCUCCUCUGACGUUAGCGGCGGACGGGUGAGUAACACGUGGAUAACCUACCUAUAAGACUGGGAUAACUUCGGGAAACCGGAGCUAAUACCGGAUAAUAUAUUGAACCGCAUGGUUCAAUAGUGAAAGACGGUUUUGCUGUCACUUAUAGAUGGAUCCGCGCCGCAUUAGCUAGUUUGUAAGGUAACGGCUUACCAAGGCAACGAUGCGUAGCCGACCUGAGAGGGUGAUCGGCCACACUGGAACUGAGACACGGUCCAGACUCCUACGGGAGGCAGCAGUAGGGAAUCUUCCGCAAUGGGCGAAAGCCUGACGGAGCAACGCCGCGUGAGUGAUGAAGGUCUUCGGAUCGUAAAACUCUGUUAUUAGGGAAGAACAAAUGUGUAAGUAACUAUGCACGUCUUGACGGUACCUAAUCAGAAAGCCACGGCUAACUACGUG